AAAAUCCGGAUUAAUUCAAUAUCCGGACAGCAUUGAUUCGGAUAAAUUGAAAAUUCGGUUUUUUCAUCCGGAUGAAUUCAUCCGCUCGAUGUCUCGCCCGUUCGGCAAAUUAUGUCAUGUUUCGGGCUUGAUGCUCGACCGUCUGAUAAACGUUUUUUAUAGCUGUUUUUCGAAUAUAAGGUAUGCAUUAUGCAACCCAUUAGACAUUUCGUUUUUACGUAUUUCUACAUGAUGUUAAAACUAAAAUAGCUAAUUAUAUAUGUAAUAAAUCAAGUGUAUUUUAAACGAUGCAAAAUAUCACUACAAAAAUGCUUUGUUUACAAAAAAGUUUGGGCGUUCUCAUAUUGUCUCUUAUGUUUCUAAAUGAGUACAAUAAGGAUAGAUAAAGCAAUAGGCGACACAAGGCGACGCGACGAUAUUGCCGAUUGCCGGGUUAUUUGUCCGGACGAUUUAAUUCGGAUUUUUUUAGCCGGUGGAACGUGGAACUUCGUGUCACUUUGUGCAAGCUUUUAUUUCAUUGUCGGUCGAAUGAACGGGCGGCGUGUGUCCGGACGAUUUAGAUAUCCGGAUUGAUUCGGAAUAAUUUGAUAUUCGGAUUGAACGGACGAUUAAUCCGGACUCUUCGCAUCACUACCCACAAGCAUAAACGCCACCGGUAAUGUGAGUCUGGGAGUUCCCUCAGUUCCCAAAAUCCAAACAAAUGUUGGAAGAUAUUUUUGAGUCUCCACAUCUUUCUUACUUUUCUAUAUGAAAAUAAAAUGUAAGUAUCACAAUUACACACAUACAAAAGUUUUUUUUUAAAUUCAGUUUCAUAAUUACCAAUUUUUAGUGAAUAAUCGUGAAAUUUAUGAAAAUACAUACAUUUUAAGGUUAUGUCAUAAUGUUUUGAUUGUUUUUGUGAUUUUAGUGGAGUACACCAACAAAGGUUAUGUGUUUUGCACCAGAUUGAAAGCAUCUUAGCGAAAAACGGACCUGUCAUAUCUUUAAAUUUACAAAAGAGCCCCUGGAAAAAAAAAAUAAAUAUCUGCUAAAGAAUACUAAGGCAAAUGGAUAAAAAACUUUCAGUCCAUGCAUUGGUAUGUAAUUGUUGACAAAAAUACAAUGAAUGGCCUCACUACUUUUCCACAUGCAAAGAGGUUAACCAAGGAGAAAUUAAAGAAAUUGUCAAAAACCUAGGUACAUACAGAAUUGCUUAGUACAAACUUAUCUAUACCCAGUACAAGUUUGUCCACUUCUUUGAAGCAUGGUACUUCAAACAGAGAAACUGUCAACAAUUUGGUAGAAGGUGAGCCCGUUUCAAAUUCCAGUAAGAGAUAUGAUUUCAAUUUUACACCAACAGCAGAGCCGAAAUUCAUUUUGCUUAUUAAGUUUUGCAAAUUAAGUUUUUCAUAUGAGCAUUUAAAAAAUAGUCAUAACAAAGUUCAGUUGUAUACAGGUUUGACAUGUAAUAAAUAUUUUGUAACCUUAAUAAGUGAAUUAGUUUUAUACAUUAUUUAAAUAAUAAUUGUAUAGUUCACAUAGAAUAGGCAGAAAUUAUAUGUACCUAUAUAAAAAAAUUUUAUUAAGAUAAGGAAAACAUGUAUUAAAGCAUAACACAUAAUAUAGACACACAUGUAAUAUCUUUAUUAAAAAUUAUAAUUCUAUGUUAUGUAACAUUAGAGCCUAAAAACAUUAAGGAGAAUGA